UUUAGGUAUCCGUUAAGUGGUGUGAUAGACAAUGCGACGUCUCGAAGUACUGAUCUGGAUAAGGAUCCAUCGUCCUAUUCCUCAUUAUGGUAAAUUGAGGCUUAACGAUGUAUAAUUUUGUAUUUUGUGAAAAUUUAGAAAACUCUAAAAAUAAUUAUAAGUCAUUAGCGGAGGCAGAAUCAGUUAAUUCAUAAUUGUCCUGAUUUCUUGUUUAUUUUCCUAUACUGUCCUACUUACUUGUUAUCAUAAUGUACAUGUUCUUAAUUUAUAGUUUUUAUGGUCUUAUCCAUUUAGCUGGUUUAUUCAGUUAUCUGUUACUCGAUCCCUUAUUAUGAUAAGCUAUAUCGU
rnacentral:lncRNA from 1 species